GGAGAGAUGGCCGAGCGGUCUAAGGCGCUGUCUUAAGGCGGCAGUCUGAAAAGGCGUGGGUUCGAAUCCCACUCUCUUCA
rnacentral:tRNA from 1 species